UCUAUCUCUCUAUGUCUCUCACACACAGAGACUAACACACAGACAUGUAUAUACUCAUUAUUGCUGUUCAAACUGAUGGUCAAAUUUCCAAGCACCACCUGAACGCCUCAUCUGUUUUCAUCCCAUCACUGGACCAACUGUCGUCAUUCCGCUUUGCUCUCUGCUGUGGAACUUGACUCACAUCUGUGCUUUGCCUGUGUGCAGAAGAAGAACAAGGACCAGAUCUCCAGUCUUCUCUCUCACAUCCCAACCCCCCAUCCCCUCUAUCCUCUGUCCUACUCCACCUGUUGUCUCUGCCUUCUUUCCAUCUGUAUUUCACCCUGUGGUUUGUGAGAAAUUUUGCCAAACCAAGAA